CGCGUAGGCUGUUAUGUGUGUCAGAUGUGAAAUCCCAAGGCUUAACCUUGGAACUGCAUUUGAAACUGCAUGACUAGAGUGAGUAAGAGGCGGACGGAAUUCCGAGUGUAGCAGUGAAAUGCGCAGAUAUUCGGAGGAACAUCGGUGGCGAAGGCGGUUCGCUGGUACUCUACUGACGCUGAGGCGCGGAGAGCGGUGGGGAGCAAACCA
rnacentral:rRNA from 1 species